AAAACUAUCGUGAGUUUUUUUAGAAAAUAAAAUUUUCUCGUGAUUUUUGGCUGUCAUAUUUUUGGCAAAGUAAAAAUUUCCUUAUUUUUGGAAAAUAAAGGACUUGUAUAUUUUGCUUCCAUGGCAUGCUGGAUUUCAAUGUGAGGAGAGUGGGGAAUUGAGGGAUAAAGACGACGUCGCUUUUGGUGAGCUUGCUGAGCGUAAUAAGUGGAAGAGGUGUCCUCAGUGUCGCUGCUUUGUUCAACUUAUUAAAGGUUGCCGUUUCAUCAAGUGCAGGUGUUGUGCCACUUUCUGCUACAAGACGAGUUGGUCGUCCCAAUUACCGGAGUGGUUGUGCUUCUCCUUCAAUGACCCCAUGCUGUUUUCUAUUUAUUCUUUUUAUCCUACCUCUCUUCCUCUCUUUAAUUUGCUAUAUGCUAUUUUAUAUGAAAGGAUCAGAUAACUCUUUUCACCGAGUUUAGAACAGGGAGUAAGAAUUAUC